rnacentral:rRNA from 1 species
UACGUAGGCAGCGAGCGUUGUUCGGAGUUACUGGGCGUAAAGCGUGCGUAGGCGGUGGUCCAAGUCUGGUGUGAAAUCUCCCGGCUCAACUGGGAGGGUGCGCCGGAAACUGGGCCGCUGGAGUAUGGGAGAGGCAAGCGGAAUUCCAGGUGUAGCGGUGAAAUGCGUAGAUAUCUGGAGGAACACCGGUGGCGAAGGCGGCAUCCUGGACCAACACUGACGCUGAGUGAGCGGAAAGCCAGGGGAGCAAACGGGGAUU